GAUGAACGCUGGCGGCGUGCCUAAUACUUGCCAGUCGAGCGAACAGACGAGGAGCUUGCUCCUCUGACGUUAGCGGCGGACGGGUGAGUAACACGUGGAUAACCUACCUAUAAGACUGGGAUAACUUCGGGAAACCGGAGCUAAUACCGGAUAAUAUAUUGAACCGCAUGGUUCAAUAGUGAAAGACGGUUUUGCUGUCACUUAUAGAUGGAUCCGCGCCGCAUUAGCUAGUUGGUAAGGUAACGGCUUACCAAGGCGACGAUGCGUAGCCGACCUGAGAGGGUGAUCGGCCACACUGGAACUGAGACACGGUCCAGACUCCUACGGGAGGCAGCAGUAGGGAAUCUUCCGCAAUGGGCGAAAGCCUGACGGAGCAACGCCGCGUGAGUGAUGAAGGUCUUCGGAUCGUAAAACUCUGUUAUUAGGGAAGAACAAAUGUGUAAGUAACUAUGCACGUCUUGACGGUACCUAAUCAGAAAGCCACGGCUAACUACGUG
rnacentral:rRNA from 1 species